GAAGAAUGUAGGCUGCUCUUGCCAAGUCCUGAUAUGGUCCAGCAGCAGAGUUUUUGAACUUAUCUGAACACUUGGAACAUUUUGAGGAAGAUCUGAGAAGAAAGCAGUUCUGUUUCAUGCCUUCAUAUACCUGUGUGCUCUGCUUGGUUAAAACUGGUGCAAAAAUGUUUUGCUGAAGAACUUUAAUUUCUAGCCUUAUCAGAGGCUGAACAAUUCCAAUUCUCUCAGCCUUUCCUCAUCAUCUGGAAGCAGAGAUGUGUGGACAACUCCAG
rnacentral:lncRNA from 12 species